GACGAACGCUGGCGGCGUGCUUAACACAUGCAAGUCGAACGGUAAGGCCCUUCGGGGUACACGAGUGGCGAACGGGUGAGUAACACGUGGGUGAUCUGCCCUGCACUUCGGGAUAAGCCUGGGAAACUGGGUCUAAUACCGGAUAGGACCACUGCCUGCAUGGGUGGUGGUGGAAAGCUUUUGCGGUGGGGGAUGGGCCCGCGGCCUAUCAGCUUGUUGGUGGGGGGAUGGCCUACCAAGGCGACGACGGGUAGCCGGCCUGAGAGGGUGACCGGGCACACUGGGGCUGAGGUACGGCCCAGACUCCUACGGGAGGCAGCAGUGGGGAAUAUUGCACAAUGGGCGCAAGCCUGAUGCAGCGACGCCGCGUGAGGGAUGACGGCCUUCGGGUUGUAAACCUCUUUCAGCACCGACGAAGCGCAAGUGACGGUAGGUGCAGAAGAAGGACCGGCCAACUACGUGCCAGCCGCCGCCGUAA
rnacentral:rRNA from 1 species